CCUACGGGAGGCAGCAGUGAGGAAUAUUGGUCAAUGGGCGUAAGCCUGAACCAGCCAAGUCGCGUGAGGGAUGAAGGUUCUAUGGAUCGUAAACCUCUUUUAUAAGGGAAUAAAGUGUGGGACGUGUCCUAUUUUUUAUGUACCUUAUGAAUAAAGAUCGGCUAACUCUGUGCCAGCAGCCGCGGUAAUACGGAGGAUCCGAGCGUUAUCCGUAUUUAUUGUGUUUAAAGGGUGCGUAUGCGGCCUUUUAAGUCAGCGGUGAAAGUCUGUGUCUCAACCAUAGAAUUGCAGUUGAAACUGGGUGGCUUGAGUAUGUUUAAGGCAGGCGGAAUGCGUGGUGUAGCGGUGAAAUGCUUAGAUAUCACGCAGAACCCCGAUUGCGAAGGCAGCCUGCCAAGCCAUGACUGACGCUGAUGCACGAAAGCGUGGGGAUCAAACAGGAUUAGAUACCCGGGUAGUC
rnacentral:rRNA from 1 species